AUUGAACGCUGGCGGCAGGCCUAACACAUGCAAGUCGAGCGGAUGAAGGGAGCUUGCUCCUGGAUUCAGCGGCGGACGGGUGAGUAAUGCCUAGGAAUCUGCCUGGUAGUGGGGGAUAACGUCCGGAAACGGGCGCUAAUACCGCAUACGUCCUGAGGGAGAAAGUGGGGGAUCUUCGGACCUCACGCUAUCAGAUGAGCCUAGGUCGGAUUAGCUAGUUGGUGGGGUAAAGGCCUACCAAGGCGACGAUCCGUAUCUGGUCUGAGAGGAUGAUCAGUCACACUGGAACUGAGACACGGUCAAGACUCCUACGGGAGGCAGCAGUGGGGAAUAUUGGACAAUGGGCGAAAGCCUGAUCCAGCCAUGCCGCGUGUGUGAAGAAGGUCUUCGGAUUGUAAAGCACUUUAAGUUGGGAGGAAGGGCAGUAAGUUAAUACCUUGCUGUUUUGACGUUACCAACAGAAUAAGCACCGGCUAACUUCGUG
rnacentral:rRNA from 1 species